CAACGUGUGUUUUUUUCACCGUCACUUGUGUAUCUCAUUGUGUUUUUUAACAAAAAUAAUUUUAUUAUUUCGUUAUUUUGUGCAAUAUAUUGUGUGAAAGAGUAUAAAUAAAAAAUAAAAUGAAAUUUUGUUUCACAAAAGUGAAUCUAUAGAAAAUUAUAGUAAAAGUAUUUGAAAUAUCUACACGCAAUUGGCGGAAGAGAUAAAUUAUAUUUUUGUACAAAACAAUUAAAACAAAUAAAACAAAAAUCUAACAAAUAAUAAACGAAAAGUGUGUGCUCUGCGUUGCAACAUAAUAAAAAAAGUGUUUAACAAUUAAAAUUGAAUAAAUACAUUUUAUUUAAGAAAUAAAACAAAUAAAAAAGUCAACAAAUCUAAAUAUAAAUUCAAUAAAAAGCAGUUGGUAACAACUCUUCACAAGAAAAAAAAAACAAAGCCAGAAAGAGAGGCGAAACGCAAGCAAGAGCGUAAACAAAACAAACCGCAAACAACAACAACCUUUUUGUUAAUUUAGUGGAUUUUCCUUUUAAAGGGGCCACAGAGUAGCGAGAUCUUUUAUUGGGUGGCAGUAACGUCUAGUACCCGGUUUUACACUAUUUUUAUAGUUUCCAAUGUAGCCCUUUGGGUUUUUAUUAACACGAGCGUGAGUGUGAUAAAUUUCUAUGAACAGAGUUCGUGUUAAAUUUGAAAUUUUCAUUUAAUUUCUUAAAUGCAAUUUACAUUUUUAUAUGAUUUCGUUCUACGUCCCCAACAAACAAUAUUGGCUGAAUUUGUUUUAAUCCAACAAGUAUUUCGUAAAUAAAAUUCUCUCCAUUUCAUUUAAUUGCUGUGAGUCAGUCACGAGAUAUUGGAAUUUUUGUAUUUCAAUGGGGUGACUUGUGAAAUUUAAUUUAACUCCUGAACCCGGGACUAAAAGGGAAAUUUAUGCAAUAAAUAAAUCCGUUCCUGAUAAAAGACAAAACUUUUUUCUACACUAAAACAAUUUUUUGGCCUUGAAAACACCGAAGAAAUCCUUUAACUAAUUUCCUAUAAUAAAAACAACCAACUACAGGAAUUUUUACUAAAAGAAAAUUUAACAAAAAUCUACUCUACUAAACUAAACCCUCCAAAACAAAGUACUUAGUAACUUAUUAAAACUCAAUCUAACAUAAUUUUGAAACUUCAUAAAAUCCCCUAAUUUAAAUUAAAAGGAAAGAGAAAAAGAAAAA